rnacentral:piRNA from 1 species
CACAAACUUGAGAGCCCAUUGUUC